rnacentral:rRNA from 1 species
UACAGAGGGGGCAAGCGUUGUUCGGAAUUACUGGGCGUAAAGGGCGCGUAGGCGGCCUUCUAAGUCGAACGUGAAAUCCCCGGGCUCAACCUGGGAACUGCCUUUGUGACUGCAAGGCUUGAGUGCGGCAGAGGGGGAUGGAAUUCCGCGUGUAGCAGUGAAAUGCGUAGAUAUGCGGAGGAACACCGAUGGCGAAGGCAAUCCCCUGGGCCUGCAUUGACGCUCAUGCACGAAAGCGUGGGGAGUAAACAGG